UAACAACCUGGGCGGCUUGCUGGGACCGACUGCUCCUCUGCGCGGAUCUAUUUAGCCGAGCCCUCAUCCAUGUUGCGCUGGCGUGAUAGCCGUGAGGGAAUACACGACCGUGUGAGCUGUGCCAUAGCCCUUGUGUGUCCACCAUUGUCGUGACCUUGUUAUCAAGUCGAGAAGCGCUGCCAGUUCGCAAGUGAGAAUGUGGCAACCUCGCUGCGCAGGACAAGCGACCAAGGGCGGGGAGUUUUCACUGGAGGAAGACCAUCGUUGCGGCUUCACUGCUCGCAUGGCCAGGGGCACUUCUUCUCCAAUCCACGGUAAUUAGCUCCUCCCAGAGUUCAUUGUGUCCUUAGGAUCGUUUUGCACCGAGUCAUAUGGACAAUCGUGCGCCGGGGAUCGAGCGCCUAUGUCGCCGGCGUACGCUUCGUCGUAAGCCGAGGCGGCGCCGCCGUUCUUUUCGACCCAGUGAGGAAGAAUGCUGCACGCCGUCGGAUCUGUUGUCGACGGCCGUGAUUAGUGGCAGGUUACCGAUUCGGGGGGUGAAUAGCGACUGUUGGAUCUUCAAGCGAAGAUGGCUGAGAUGAUAGGGGUUAAUAGAAUCGGGUCCGUCGGUUUUAAGCGGAUGGCUGAGAUGAACCGACACCAUUUCAGCUUGACCAACGUCUAAUCUAGGUCGUAGAUUCAAAUUGGACGGCUCAGCCAGCCCCGUACCCCUUCGACCAGUCAGAAUUAUAAAAGAGACCCUGAGUUUUUAUAAAAUAAACCCGUCGUCCAUAUUCGUUAGGAAGUAAUUGCAACCGAGUCCUGAAAUUCAUGAACUGAACCCGAGCUUUUUGGGAUUCCUGCGUGCGAUCCAGGGAUGAAAUAAAUUGAGUAAAUUAAUAUAUAAAAUGAUUUCUAGUAUAAAAAUAAUUUCAGAAACUUGUUUAAUUCAUAUUUAAUUCAUUUUAACUCCUUUUUAUCCAUUCCAGUUGCAUUAGAUUCAUAUUAAUAUUGUUUAUCAUGUAGUAACCUUAUAUUGUUAUGAAAUAUAGGUUAGAAUUAUACAAUUAAUUUGUUUUAUAUCUAACACCUAAAUCUUUGGUAAAUCAUAAUUCUUUAGCUGUAAAUCCGAACUCAGUGGUUCUCGAACCUAGGAUCUUGUUACGAUGCGUAGAACAUUAUUAUGCAGUUUGUUCUUAUGUUUGGUGUGAUGUUAAUUUUGCCUAUAGAAGACCAAGUUGGUACCUGGGAACCUCGAGUCUAAGG
rnacentral:lncRNA from 1 species